rnacentral:tRNA from 1 species
CCAAAGGUGGCUUAGUAGGUAAAGAAUCUGCCUGCAAUGCAGGAGACACAGGUUCAAUCCCUGAAUUGGG